rnacentral:rRNA from 1 species
UACGGAGGGGGCUAGCGUUAUCCGGAAUUACUGGGCGUAAAGCGCACGCAGGCGGUUCGCCAAGUUUGGAGUGACAGUUGUCGGCUCAACCGACAAAGGACUUCAAAAACUGGUGAACUUGAGGACGAGAGAGGAACAUGGAACUCCAGGUGUAGUAGUGAAAUGCGUAGAUAUCUGGAAGAACACCAAUGGCGAAGGCAAUGUUCUGGCUCGUUUCUGACGCUCAGGUGCGAAAGCCAGGGGAGCGAACGGG